UGCUUUGCAGCGUUUAGUUUGGUUAGGCUCCUGAGCUUUUGCUGUGAGACGGGGCUGUGUGAGCAACCCUUUUUAUAGAGGGGGAGGGCUGAGGGGAGAGAGGCUGCAUGACUCUCCCAGCCUCGGGCAGGAAAUCUGUGGUAAGUCUUAAUGAAGUCUUCGCUGCCUUUACAGGGUAACACCCUAACCUUUAGGCGAUCUCUUCUCUGCGCAUGUAAGAUGAUAACACUGCUACAUUGAAUGCAGCAUGGCUGCAUGAAUUUCUUAGAGAAUAAGCACUUGUGGCUUAUGUGGGCUUUGUUCCAGGUGUGGAGGUGGUUGCUGCUGAGAUCUAUCUAUCUGCAAUGCUGUUAAUAACUUUUUAUUUCCUGACUAAAUUAACCCCCACUCCUCUCACACUGCGACCCAGACAGAAGGUUGUUGUAGCAGGUUGGUUUUUUUAUGAUAGGGUUUGCGCUUAGCUGCAUCAGAAUAAUGAAGAAACCCCUCGGUGGUGUGUUGCUUCUGCAGCAUGACUAGUUCUUCUGGCUUGGGAACUGCAGGCCUGUUUGUGUUUGGUGGGGCUGUGACCACUUGUUGAACCUGUCUAGGUUUAGCUCUCGGGAAUGGGGCGAGCUUGGCUCUUGUUACUGGGGUGGUUAAAAUUGGGAGUUCAUUAUAAGGAGGGCUUCCAAGGGUAAGAUUAGAUAGCAUGUGAAUUAGCCCUACCACAUGUAUCACCAAUCGUGCAAGGUGCUGUACAGGCAUAGACUGGAAAAUCCCACCCUAAUCUGCUUACUGUCUAACCAUAAGAUAGGAAAUGCUUGGGGUAAUAAAAAAGGAAUCAAUGAGACUGUAUUAGUCAGCAUGACAGGUGUUCAUCAACAGCAGCCUGAUGGCUGUGAAGGAUUUGCUAGAGGGUAGUGAAAGCUCCUUCAAAACUGUCCAAAGAUAAUGAAGUAGCACUGAAUGUGAUUUCUGGGAAUGUGGUGGUGUAUGAGGGGGAUGCUUUGAGAAUUUUGGGUGGUUACUGGAGGCCUGAGUUGCAGAGGCAGGUAUGGAGAGGUAAGCACUCGUUUCCAAAGCACAGUCCUGGCCUGACAGUAGUGAGAAGGCACAGACUACACAGCACUGUGCCUGUGGAGCACAACUGGGGCGGGCAGCAGGACAAACCUGCCCACAGCCUGGGACUGGACAGCAUUACAAGUGCAUGCUAGGGAGAGCAAGCACGCCAAGUUGUGCUCGCUUAUUUUUUUUGCCUUCCAAUAUAUCGGGUAAUAUAAAAAAGGGUGUUGCUUUCCUGGUGAACCUGCCUCAUGCGUAUAUAGACAACACCCCUACCGCUUCUGCCAUGUGGACCGUGCGAGGUGAGGUGGAGGAGUAGGAGGAUAUUGCAGAGAGGCAAACUGGAAAAGAGGAGGGUCUCGCUGUGUUUCCUGUAAGCGUGCAGGUAGACGGCAGACACAGCCAUAGAUGGGAACCUCUGAGAGUAUCCCGACCUCUCUCCUAUCUGUGUUGUGGGUGUGAUCACAGCAGGAUGUGGUCUUUAGGCGUAGAUCAAGAAUGGGGUCAAGAGUGGCUCUGCUAGCCACCUGGGCUGAUAGCUGGGCCACAGUGAGCUAUAUAUUCCUGCUGCGGUUGGUCUUGUCCAAGGAAGUGGCUGUGGGGAAGACUGCACUGACAAACAGGAAAAGCAGCCCUUUCCCACCGCUCUCUUUAGAUCUGUUCUGCGCUUGGAUCUGUGACAGUGGCCUGUGCUCGGUGUGCUGGCUCUCCUCCAGCACACUGCCUGGAGAAAGGCUAGCUGGUCUAGUGGGACAAACCAGCUUGGUGAGCCCAUGUGUUUCCAGUCUUCAGCAGCCAAUGGUAUCUUUCUGAGCCAUUGCGAUGCUAGAGUAGCGCAGCUCAGAUCUCUUGAUGGGAAGUCACCCAACAAGACAUACGUGGGUGCUGGCAAGGAGCAUGACUGCAGCUGCAUUUCUGAAGGAGACCAGGAAGCAUGGGUUGCCAGUCGAUGGUGUAUGGGCUGAAUGUGGCCUGCCAGAGCAACUUCUUCCUUGUGCAGGCUGCCCUACAAUCCUUCCCCAGGGCUCUGAUGCUUCUGCCGGUUCAAAAAGACUUGAAUGUAGCCAAAACACAACUCCUGGGCAGUGCUUCCCCUGUCAGAUCCCCUGUCAUGGAAGUCUUUCUCCCAACAUAGAAUGCUUUGCUCUUGCAGUGCUCAAAAAGGUACUUCUGACCUUCGCUCCCGCUCCAGGAGCCUCACCUCCAGGCAGGCGGUUGAUUUACCCUCCUCUCCUUGUUCCCAAGUCUCUUGGUCCUGGAUUCAAAGUCAGCUUCACCCCAGUUCAGGGUGGAGGUGGCCCUGCAACCAUGAGAUGGCCCUGGGGCAAAGCAAGGCUGGUGUUUCCCUCUCCCUGCAGUUUUGAGGACAGUGCCCAUCAAACGCAGGUGGAGCUGGAGAGCAGAAGGCUGUUGUCCCCUGCCAGGCCAGCUGCCUGCUGGUGACUGAAGGCAGGGCACCAUCUGGUGGCAUGAAAGGAAUUUGUCCGCACGUCUGCAGGAGAGCAGUCCUGACUUUCUCAGCCAGACACAAACUAGUAGUUUCCAACUCCCCCCCCCCCCCCCCCCUUUUUUUUUUCUCUUCUGUGGCCUUAAGCCCCUCUGUGGCUUUCCCUACCUGCCUGAUGCUCUUGUUUCUCCCCAGCUGCUGCGACCACCUCUCGCAGAGACGCUUAAGCUGACAAACUUGGCCAGCUCUGGGUUGUUCCUGGAGUUCCCACAGUUUCUCACUCUGGGAAGGAGCAUUACACAGCUGCAGAGGGAACUGCCCGAGGACAGGCUCUGCUAGGGCCUGAGAUGUGAGAGCUCCACUCCCACUGGAGCUGUCCUAGGUCAGAUCAGGGGUGUGUCUAACCUAGUGUCCUCUUCCUGACAGCAGAUGCCUGGGGAAGGACAGAUGAAGGCAGUGAGCUGGCAGCAGGAGAUAGCUAGAUGGUCUGCCAGCCUCCAAUGUGUAGGCAGGAAUGUCUUGAGUUUGACAUUGUGCCUCUAUUUUGAAUAACCUUCUGUGGCUUUCAUCCUUCCUGAUUUUGACUCAUUACCGUUUGAACCUCCUAGUGUUCGCUACACCUUGUGGAGGGGCAGCUGGGCAGGAGGCUUCUGCCCUGGGCCAGGAGGUGGGAACAGCUGUCUUGAGGUUGCGUGGGCAUUGUUCAUCUGCGUGCGGGGGGCUUGUGGCUCAGAGCACAUACCAGAAAGGAUUGGUGGUAUGUCCCUGCUGUCUCUCUUUUCCAGGUCCCUUGGAGGGACCAGAUACGCCAGAUGUGUCCAGAUUGUGGGUCUGCUGAUCUUCAAGCAGAGAGGAGCAGUGGCACACAGCUGAGAACCAGAUGUCAAGAAUGAAAAUAAAGGGUCUGCAAAGCCCUGGUUAUUGGAGUCCCAAGGAACAGCAGCGGGAUGAGUAUGACCUACAUGGGAAGCUCAUGGCAGGAGUGUAUAUUGGGGAAGUCCUGGUCCAGGGAAGGUGAGGAACCAUCAUAUAGCGCUGUCCAAGGCUGACAGCCCAUCUGAAGAGGGUCCUGAGGCCCUGGUUUCUGUCCUGAGUGCUGUGCAGAGAUUAGAGAUUUGCCGGCUGGCGUUCCAACCCUGCAGGAACCAGCGCGGGGCUGUGCUAAAUGUAAUUAUCUUUAGACAAAUGCAGAUAGCAGGCCUGGAGUGGAGGUACUUAGAUAACGUGCAAGGGACUGCGAUAAUGGUGAUUUUUCUGGGAAGUGCAGCCAAACUCUGAAACUCUGUGCCCAGAGAAUAGCUCUGCGUACACAUUAGGAAUUGCCAAAGCUGAGAGCAGAUGACAAAAUCUCCCACACUUAAAUAUAUUCUUUCCCAAAAGAACACAUGCCUCUGUGUUUAUUUUCAUACUGUGAAAGCAAACUAAGGAACGUGGCCCAUAGCAGCACUACCUAUUGACGUGUGCCAUCAUACUUUCACCUGCCAUUUCUAGUGUCCAUGUCUUUAUGAGCUUGAUCCUACGAACCUUACUGUUGAAUUAAACUGGGGAUUUUAUCUUUCAGUCCAACUGAGACAGAGCUGCCCAUAUAACUAUCUAGCUGGAAAAUGGUCUGGCUGACUGUAUUUCACAGGAUUCUCUGUGCCCGUACAGAUGGCAAGAGACUUUGGCUAGAGGCUAAAGGACAUUUAUUUGAAGGAUUUUCUGCAAAUAUGAACAUAUUCUAAUAGCUGGACUUGUGAAAGCAAAGCUUUCAUGUUUGAGAAGUACAUUUUUUGAGUGGUAGGGAAUGAAGAAAAUGUUACCUAAUUUAUUACUGAAUGCUUGUGAAAGACUUAAUACUCAUAAAACCAGCAGCAUGCCAGAGACAAUGGAGAGGAUCCUGCAGUGGGUCUCUGCACAUAUCCUUGCAAAGCUAUGCCAAAGCUCCUUAAUCCUGAUCUUACUUAUUUCAGUGGAAGGCAUUUGCUGAACAAAGAACUGCGACUGUGUCAAAUCUGUGCAUUGAGGUUUGUGAGGAGGCCAAAAUAUCCAGCCAGGGUGGAACUGGGGUCCACCAACACCAUAGCAUUGUGGCUGAGCUCUUAAAAUCUUAAGUGAAAGGCCUGAUCCAUGCAGCUCUUCCUACAGGAACCACUUGACCCCCCAAUAAAUUGCGAUGAAACUAAAGCAUCCUUGUCCCUGCCCUGCUGUCUUGUUCAUAAAAGCCUAAUUAUUAUCCAGCUGGCAAUCUGAGAAGGGAUAUGUUCACACAGUUUAAUUCUUCCUGCUCAAAUGAAUCCUUGGAAGCUAAGCAGUCAAGUGUGUUUGCUCCCUUUUUUACAGAAGUACGUGUUACGCAGAUUGCUGGGGAAAGGUUGUGCAAGUUUUUAUUGUGAACAGCUUCACAGGUAAGUGUUGGCCUCCCCGGUGCUGAGACCCAUUCUUUGCUGUUCCCUGCACCCUUCUAAGGUUCCUCUUCAAGGUUCGUGCUGGUGGCAUUUUACAGGUCUGUGUCAUCAGCUGCAUUGCGUGCUGUGAUCUGGCUUUCUGUCUACUGGCUUGGAUGACUGAAACUUUUGAACUGGAGCAAACUGACUGCCAGCCACUGGAUAUGAAGCAGUCUUGCUCACUCACAAAUAACCAUAUUCUUGUUUGUGUAAAAGUACUGCUCUGAAAGUGAGUUUUUGCUUGUGCGCUUGAGCUUACUGAAACGUGAAGGAUGGCUAGCUAUAAAUGUGGGAUGCAGCAUGGCCUAAGGAUUAACUGUGGGGACUUUCUAUGUAUUAGUUUAAUUAAUGAUAAUAGAUGUGGUACUCUAUGUAUAACAAUAUGUACUCUUCUGAAAGGCGCUUUCAUGUUUUGGAGUGGGCUGGUCUUUUUGCUGAAUGUAUGCGUGUAGAGCAGCGU